rnacentral:tRNA from 1 species
GGCGCUAUCGUCUAAUGGUUAGGACACAGCCUUCUCAAGGCUGGAAUCGGGGUCCGAUCCCCCGUAGCGUCA